rnacentral:lncRNA from 1 species
GCCCGCAUCCUUGAAACCAAUCGUUUGAUCGAAACUAAUUACAAAGACUAGCUUAGAAAUCUCUAAAUUAUUCUGACCUCAAAAAAGUUAAGUUAUAUACUCGAUCAGGAAUCUAUAGUAUUACCAAACCAUCCUACUGCCAAGCAAAGAGCUGCUUUUAAAAAGUGGACGGAUGAAGCAAGUCAGAUCAAGUGCUAUGUGCUAGCAUCAAUGUCAAAUGAGUUACAAAGCUAGCAUGAGCAUAUGCCCACUGUCAGGGCUAUGUAA